rnacentral:rRNA from 1 species
UACGUAGGUGGCGAGCGUUGUCCGGAUUUAUUGGGCGUAAAGGGAGUGUAGGCGGUCUUUUAAGUCUGAUGUGAAAGCCCCCGGCUCAACCGGGGAGGGUCAUUGGAAACUGGGGAACUUGAGUGCAGAAGAGGAGAGUGGAAUUCCAUGCGUAGCGGUGAAAUGCGUAGAUAUAUGGAGGAACACCAGUGGCGAAGGCGACUCUCUGGUCUGUAACUGACGCUGAGGCUCGAAAGCGUGGGUAGCAAACAGG